AGAGCGAACGCUGGCGGCGUGCCUAACACAUGCAAGUCGAACGUGAACGGCUUCGGCCUAGUAAAGUGGCGUACGGGUGAGUAACGCGUAGGUAAUCUACCCUAAAGUUUGGAAUAACCGGCCGAAAGGCUGGCUAAUACUGGAUAGAGCGACGGAAAUCGUAAACGGUUUUUUCGGGAAAGGGAGGCAGUAAUGCCCCUCGCUUUAGGAUGAGCCUGCGUCUCAUUAGCUAGUUGGUAGGGUAAUGGCCUACCAAGGCUUUGAUGGGUAGCUGGUCUGAGAGGAUGAUCAGCCACACUGGAACUGAAACACGGUCCAGACUCCUACGGGAGGCAGCAGUGGGGAAUCUUGCGCAAUGGACGAAAGUCUGACGCAGCCACGCCGCGUGAGUGAAGAAGGCCUUCGGGUUGUAAAGCUCUGUCGGCGAGACGAACAAAUCUAACAGUUAAAGAAGACUGGUAGAUACUGACGGUACCGCCAAAGGAAGACGACCGGCUAACUUCGUGCCACAGCCG
rnacentral:rRNA from 1 species